UUUGGAGAAUCUAGUUCUUGGGCUCUGGGGGAACUACGACCGCAAGGCUGAAACUUGAAGGAAUUGACGGAAGGGCACACCAGGGGUGGAGCCUGUGGCUUAAUUUGAAUCAACACGGGGAAACUUACCAGGACCAGAUGUUUUUUAUGACUGACAGGCUUCGGGUCUUUCAGGAUAUUGUUUUUGGUGGUGCAUGGCCGUUGGUGGUGCGUGGGUUGACCUGUCUAGCGUUGAUUCAGCUAACGAGCGAGAUUAUCGCCAAUUAUUUACUUUGCCGAAGUCCUUCGGUUAAAGUUCUAAUUGGGACUCCCUGCGAUUUUAGCAGGUGGAAGAGGGUAGCAAUAACAGGUCCGUGAUGCCCUUUAGAUGCUCUGGGCUGCACGCGUGCUACAAUGUUAGGAUCAAUAGGACUGCGAGCCUGAGAGGGUGCGCUACUCUUAUAAUCCCUAACGUAGUUGGGAUUGACGUUUGUAAUCAGCGUCAUGAACCAGGAAUCCCUUGUAAAUGUGUGUCAACAACGCACGUUGAAUACGUCCCUGCCCUUUGUACACACCGCCCGUCGCUCCUACCGAUUGGAUGACUCGGUGAAAUCACCGGAUGCUUACGAGCAGAAAGUGAUUAAAUCACGUUAUCUAGAGGAAGGAGAAGUCGUAACAAGGUAACGGUAGGUGAACCUGCCGUUGGAUCAGUU
rnacentral:ncRNA from 1 species